UGCAGGAAGGAUCACGGUAAUCCUUCCUGCAGGUACCGAGUGGAGCAGAAUGGAAACCCAGAAAGGACAGCUGCUAAGUGCUGGUAAAACAAACAUCACAUGUUCCGUGGGGCUCCUACAAGGUCCCUAUGAGCUCCUGGCGUGCUUUCAAGUCCAAGCUGAGCAAAUGCAAGAUGACAAGAAGAAUAAGAUCUUGCUUAGCAGGGAGAGGAGCACUGAGCACUGAUCUGGGGGUGGCUGCUCCUGCAGUGCAGUGAUGUAUCACAAAAUUAGGUUCCCCUUUUGGAUGGCCUUCAAGGUGAGCAGAGAUGGGAGAGGACGGAGCUCAGUGCUGGGGCCCUGUCUCCCAGUGCUGGUGCAGCCUUGCCAUGGGCCGUGUCCUGGACCAGCAGCUUCCACCCUGGGCAAUCAGAGAACCAUGGGAACAUUAAGGUUGCAAAAAAGCUCUCUGCAUCCCAGUACGCCGUGCCCAUUGCCCACAUCAGUGCCACAUCCCUGCAGCUCUGAAACACCUCCAGAGAUGGUGAUCCCACCACUCCCUGGGCAGCUGUGCCGGUGCAGCACUGCUCUUACGAGCCUGAAAUUGUUCCUAACACCUAAGCUGAGAUGCAGAGGUUGAUACCAGCUGCUGCCGGCUUCCUGGUUUUGCUUGCAGCUGUCCCAGUGAAGCUGCACCUUUCCUUCAAACCCUCUGUGAUGUGCAGCAGGCACUACGGGUGGGACAUCAAACCCCACCAAGGCCUACAGGCAGCUGCAGGUGUGAGAAAAGAGGAACUGCGUGGGAGCUGCUGCUGGUUUGGCUCAGGUGGGUGGAAGGGAAGGGGCGAGCACAUCUGGGGGGCAGGAAUGGGUUUUUUCUUGAUGCAGUGGCUGUCCUUGUUCCAAAUCACUGCAUUGUGUGUUCCCUUUAAAAACAAGGGCGACGCAGCACGCUUCCUUGCUUUCUAAGAAAGGGUUUACUCAUGCUGAAGUCCUCACUGAACGCAGUGCUGAGCUCUGGGCGCUCUCCAGGUGUCACAGUCACUGCAUCCAGGAGCCACGGGUGUGGGCAGGGUGUGUUUGUGCAAGGGAUGGUCCUGGUGUCAGGAUGGGACCCCGCUUUGUCAGGGGGUGCUUUGCCUCUGGGAGCAGCAGAUCAGGGCUGGGGGCUGAGUGAGGAUGUGGAGUUAAAUCACUGCGUGGGAAAUCAGUCUGCAGAGCAGGGGGGGCUGGGUUUAGAUAAUUUUUAUGGCUGGGCUCCUCAUAUUACUGCAUAAAUAGUGAAAAGCAUUCUGAGGGGGUGGCUGACAGCAUGCCACAUCAAGGGUGCCAUACCCAGGGUUGUUGGGGUGCAGGAUGCAGUGCUGGCAGUAGCAGGCUGCUUACUGAAGCAGUGCUGAUUUAGAAGGACAAAAAAAUAAAGAGGUGAUUGCACUGGGAUGCGAUGAGCAGAUUGGAAAUCACACCACUGCGUGGCAUGGCUGAUUUGUGGCAGGGGCAGCAGGAUGCUCCUCCUGCAGCAAGGGCAUCCUGGGGCUCGUUGGCACUGCUUCCAAAUAAGCCAGACCUUGGUGUAGGUGUUCUCCCCAUUCACCCUCCUGGAUGGAAG